rnacentral:misc_RNA from 1 species
AGCACUUAGCUAUGCUUAAAGAAAUGCUCAUAACCAUGUAUAAAACCCAAAUGAAUGAUCAUUUUGAACUAAUUUGCUAGUUUAUUUAAGAAAAUCUUCCAAAUUAUUACAACUUUGGAAUUAAAUCAGUACUGACAUCACAAUCUCUAAAAAUGUAGGUCAUAUCCAUUAGAAAGCCAGAUACAGCUUCCAUUAUGUAUGCCUACAUACAAAGUUUAAUGUCAAUGUGUAAGUUUG